CCGUUGAGAACUGUAUAAUUAAAAAUUAUUAUGUGGGCCUAAAAUUAGCCAUCACAAAAGUUUGUUAUAAAAUAGUAAAAACACAUGAAAAUAUUUCUAUACACGAUACCACGCUAAGCUAUAAGAAUAAUAAUUUAAAUCAAUAAAUUAAUAUACCUAUGCUAGGAUGAGUAUUAAAAUUGCUAUAAGAAAAAUUAAAGAUUUUCUUAGAAAUCGUUUCUAAUGCUAAUUAAAGACAAGGAACUCGGCAAAUGUUGUUCCGCCUGUUUAUCAAAAACAUGGCUCUUUGAAAAAAGCACAUAAAGAGUCGAACCUGCCCAGUGAAGUUUUAACGGCCGCGGUACCCUGACCGUGCAAAGGUAGCAUAAUCACUUGCCUUAUAAUUGAAGGCUGGCAUGAAUGGUCUGACGAGAGCUACACUGUCUCCUCUUUAUUAUCUAGAAAUUAACCUAUAGGUGAAGAGGCCUAUAUUAUAUUGAAG
rnacentral:rRNA from 1 species